rnacentral:rRNA from 1 species
UACAGAGGUCUCAAGCGUUUGUUCGGAUUCAUUGGGCGUAAAGGGUGCGUAGGCGGCGCGGUAAGUCGGGUGUGAAAUCUCGGGGCUUAACUCCGAAACUGCAUUCGAUACUGCCGUGCUUGAGGACUGGAGAGGAGACUGGAAUUUACGGUGUAGCGGUGAAAUGCGUAGAUAUCGUAAGGAAGACCAGUGGCGAAGGCGGGUCUCUGGACAGUUCCUGACGCUGAAGCACGAAGGCCAGGGGAGCAAACGGG